GAUCCCCACUGUUCUCCAACCAAAUAAUCUUUCAAUAACAUAUUUUCUUAAAUAGAUCGUUAUAUAUGUCAUCACCUCACUUGUGAUUGCUGCAUUAAUUAGGGCAAAAACCUUACAGAAGCAAAUGUCUCCACAUCUAUCCUUGAUAAGGUGAUGUUUAAUAAAUAUCCACCUGACAAAGAGGAACUUUUGGAGCCAUUUGAAGCUCUUAGGGACUUAAGCAUUUAUAACAUGUAGUACACUUGGAUGAAUCAUUGUCAGUUAUGAAACAUAAGGAUUUGGUUAUGCAUGGCUACGUUUGAGUAGAUUUGGUCCAUACCAGCUAUUUUCCAUUCAUUCUAACCUAUGAAAUGGGAACCAAGUCACAAGAGUGAGUUCAGGCUUUUUAACAAUAAACUUUCUGACAUUUCCACCACUUCUGAAAGUGCCUGCACGUGUUCCUUGUAAGAAGUUUGAAAAGUUAUAAAUAGGCCAAGUGUGUCUUUUUUUUUUUUUUUGGUCUUUUUGCCAUUUCCUGGGCCACUCCUGUGGCAUAUGGAGGUUCCUAGGCUAGGGGUUGAAUCAGAGCUGUAGCCACCAGCCCACGCCAGAGCCAUAGCAACCUACACCACAGCUCACAGCAACGCCAGAUCCUUAGCCCACUGAGCAAGGCCAGGGACCGAACCCGCAACCUCAUGGUUCCUAGUCGGAUUUGUUAACCACUGAGCCACGAUGGGAACUCCGCCAAGUGCGUCUUGAUCCAUUCUUCUGAGCAUGCCUCUUAUGAUGCUAGGAAGGUCUAACUCUGAAUUAUGUUUGAUAUUCAGGGGAGAACAAUCUGGCAGUGAGCUGACUUCUACCAAAGCAACCUGGAUCAGGAAGCUGGUGGAGGAGAGCCUGGAACCCCUUUGGUGAGGGGCCUAAGACCUCAUGACAAGGUGUGUAAAUGGGGGAGCCAGAUGAAAGCCAGGUCCUUUGACUCCUAAGCAUGAACUUCACCCAGGGCUCAUAUUUAGAAGAUUGACCAUCCAAGCACCGCAAGGUAAGAGCAAUCGUGACAGAACGACCCUGGAGCUGGGUCCCCCAGACGGGCCCUGAAGGUCUGCACGUCACUGCUUGACCACCCCGC
rnacentral:lncRNA from 1 species